rnacentral:rRNA from 1 species
GUGGGGAAUAUUGCACAAUGGGCGCAAGCCUGAUGCAGCAACGCCGCGUGAGGGACGACGGCCUUCGGGUUGUAAACCUCUUUUAGCAGGGAAGAAGCGAAAGUGACGGUACCUGCAGAAAAAGCACCGGCUAACUACGUGCCAGCAGCCGCGGUAAUACGUAGGGUGCAAGCGUUGUCCGGAAUUAUUGGGCGUAAAGAGCUCGUAGGCGGUUUGUCGCGUCUGCUGGGAAAACCCGAGGCUCAACCUCGGGCCUGCAGUGGGUACGGGCAGACUAGAGUGCGGUAGGGGAGAUUGGAAUUCCUGGUGUAGCGGUGGAAUGCGCAGAUAUCAGGAGGAACACCGAUGGCGAAGGCAGAUCUCUGGGCCGUAACUGACGCUGAGGAGCGAAAGCGUGGGGAGCGAACAGGAUUAGAAACCCUGGUAGUCC